rnacentral:rRNA from 1 species
UGAAAGCACAAAGGGCGCAUGGCGGAUGCCUAUGCACCAAACGGCGAUGAAGGACGUGACUAACUGCGAAAAGCUUCGGCGAGCUGUAAGUAAGCUUAGACCCGGAGAUAUCCGAAUGGGGCAACCCACUGGACAUUAAAGUCCAGUAUCCCUUUAUUGGGAGGCAAACGACGUGAACUGAAACAUCUUAGUAGCGUCAGGAAGAGAAAGUAAUAACGAUUUCCUCAGUAGCGGCGAGCGAACGGGAAAGAGCCUAAACCGCUCUUAAGAGCGGGGUUGUGGGACGACGUUGUCCGGCUUAAUCAUAUAGACGAAUCGAUCUGGAAAGGUCAACCGUAGAAAGUGAUAGUCUUGUAGUUUAAAUGUGAUUAAUCUGGUAGUCGGAUCCCGAGUAGCCCGGGACACGUGAAAUCCUGGGUGAAUCUGCGAGGACCAUCUCGUAAGGCUAAAUACGUUUGGUGACUGAUAGCGAAGCAGUACCGUGAGGGAAAGGUGAAAAGAACCCCGGAAGGGGAGUGAAAUAGAACCUGAAACCGUGUGCCUACAAGCGGUCAGAGCCGGUAUCCAUUAUGUUUAUAUUGUUAAGGAGCUUAGAGCUAAGAGCAAAGAGCUAAGAACUAAGCAACCACGAACAAAGAACUAAAUAACUAAGAACUACGAACAAGUUAGCAAUAUGAAUAUAAUGGAUACUGGUGAUGGCGUGCCUUUUGCAUAAUGAGCCAACGAGUUAAUGUCAUAAGCGAGGUUAAGUAUUACAGGUAUGAAGCCGUAGCGAAAGCGAGUUUUAAUAGAGCGAUAAGUUUAUGGUAUUAGACCCGAAACCAGGUGAUCUACCCAUGGUCAGGUUGAAGGUUGGGUAAAACCAACUGGAGGACCGCACCAACCGUCGUUGAAAAGUCGGUGGAUGAACUGUGGGUAGGGGUGAAAGGCCAAGCAAACCUGGACAUAGCUGGUUCUCUCCGAAACAUAUUUAGGUAUGGCCUCAGGAUAAGAUUCACGGAGGUAGAGCACUGAAUGGGCUAGGGGGCACACAAGCUUACUGAACCCAAUCAAACUCCGAAUGCCGUUAAUUACUUCCUGGGAGACAGGGCGUGAGGGAUAAGCUUCGCGUCCGAGAGGGAAACAACCCAGACUGUCAGCUAAGGCCCCCAAAUAGAUGCUUAGUGCUUAAGGAUGUUCAAUUGCUCAGACAGCCAGGAUCUUGGCUUAGAAGCAGCCACGAUUUAAAGAGUGCGUAAUAGCUCACUGGUCGAGUGGUAGAGCACCGAAGAUGAUCGGGACUAAGAAGCAUCUUGCCGAAGCUACGGAACAGCAUGUAAAUGUUGUUGGUAGGAGAGCGUUGUGAACCGCACAGAAGGUGAAUUGUAAGAUUUGCUGGAGCGUUCACAAGAGACCAUGUUGGCAUGAGUAACGAUAAUGCAGGCGAGAAACCUGCACACCGCAAGCCCGAGGAUUCCUGAGUAAAGCUAAUCUGCUCAGGGUUAGUCGGCCCCUAAGGUAUAGCGAUAAGGCGAAGCCGAUGGGAAUCAGGUUAAUAUUCCUGAACCUCUGUAUACAGUGAUGGAGUGACGCAAGGGUGCUAUGGGGACAGCUGUUGGAAUAGCUGUUGAAUACAUGUAGGAGGAGACGCAGGCAAAUCCGUGUCUCAUUAACUCCGAGGUGUAGGACGACGCAAUAAGCGACAAAGCCCAUUUACAGACCUUGCCGAGAAAUAGCUUCUAAACUUAUGUAUAUAGGGACCGUACCGCAAACCGACACAGGUGGGCGAGGAGAGUAUCCUAAGGUGUUCGAGAGAACUCUGGUUAAGGAACUAGGCAAAAUGACCCCGUAACUUCGGGAGAAGGGGUACCCCAUUAUCGUGAUUACACUAGCUGUAUGAGCGAGAAGGGGUCGCAGUGAAUAGGCUCAAGCGACUGUUUAUCAAAAACACAGGUCUAUGCGAAGGGGAAACCCACUGUAUAUAGACUGACACCUGCCCGGUGCCGGAAGGUUAAAUGGAGAGGUUAGCACUUCGGUGCGAAGCUUCGAAAUGAAGCCCCGGUAAACGGCGGCCGUAACUAUAACGGUCCUAAGGUAGCGAAAUUCCUUGUCGGGUAAGUUCCGACCUGCACGAAUGGUGUAACGACUUGAGCGCUGUCUCAACCAGGGACUCGGUGAAAUUGAAGUGGCGGUGAAGAUGCCGCCUACCCGCGAAAGGACGGUAAGACCCCGUGAACCUUUACUGUAACUUGGUAUUGUAAAUUGGUGCAGUAUGUGCAGGAUAGGUGGGAGGCUAUGAGCCGUGCACGCCAGUGUGCGGGGAGCCAUCGUUGAAAUACCACCCUUAUUGUAUUGAUUUACUAACAAUAGUAAAGCUAUUGGACAUUGCCAGGUGGGCAGUUUGACUGGGGCGGUCGCCUCCGAAACAGUAACGGAGGCUUACCAAGGUUCCCUCCGGCUGGUUGGUAAUCAGCCAUAGAGCAUAAAGGUAUAAGGGAGCUUAACUGCGAGACUGACGGGUCGAGCAGGUGGGAAACCAGGUCUUAGUGAUCCGGCGGUCCUGAAUGGAAGGGCCGUUGCUCAAAGGAUAAAAGGUACUCCGGGGAUAACAGGCUGAUACCGCCCAAGAGUUCAUAUCGACGGCGGUGUUUGGCACCUCGAUGUCGGCUCAACUCAUCCUGGGGCUGAAGAAGGUCCCAAGGGUUCGGCUGUUCGCCGAUUAAAGAGUUACGCGAGCUGGGUUCAGAACGUCGUGAGACAGUUCGGUCCCUAUCCUUCGUGGGCGCAGGAAAUUUGCGGAGAUCUGCAUCUAGUACGAGAGGACCGGUGCGGACGAACCUCUGGUCUGCCGGUUGUGAUGCCAAUUGCAUUGCCGGGUAGCCACGUUCGGGGAGGAUAACCGCUGAAAGCAUCUAAGCGGGAAGCCAACUCCAAGAUAAGAUUUCCCCAUCAGAUAGGUUGGAGACUACAACCUUGAUAGGUCACAGGUGUAAGCGCAGUGAUGCGUUCAGCCGAGUGAUACUAAUAUAUCGAUUGGCUUUCACCA